rnacentral:rRNA from 1 species
ACGAACGCUGGCGGCGUGCUUAACACAUGCCAGUCGAACGGAAAGGCCCUGCUUGCAGGGUCCUCGAGUGGCGAACGGGUGAGUAACACGUGGGUGAUCUGCCCUGCACUUCGGGAUAAGCCUGGGAAACUGGGUCUAAUACCGGAUAGGAGCCAUUUUUAGUGUGAUGGUUGGAAAGUUUUUUCGGUGUAGGAUGAGCUCGCGGCCUAUCAGCUUGUUGGUGGGGUAAUGGCCUACCAAGGCGGCGACGGGUAGCCGGCCUGAGAGGGUGGACGGCCACAUUGGGACUGAGAUACGGCCCAGACUCCUACGGGAGGCAGCAGUGGGGAAUAUUGCACAAUGGGCGCAAGCCUGAUGCAGCGACGCCGCGUGGGGGAUGACGGCCUUCGGGUUGUAAACUCCUUUCGCUAGGGACGAAGCUUUUUGUGACGGUACCUAGAUAAGAAGCACCGGCUCACUACGUG